AAUGGCUGUUCUCGUCGCUUCGGUUGAGCCAUUCACUAUUACAAGUAAACAUCCACUCCUGUUCAAUGUCCUCAUUCCCUCUUCUUCUCGGUAGCUCUUUGAGAUGGCUGGCUCUAGGACGAAAUGCAUCGACUUCCUCCUCAGUAUCCUUCUGCUAACCCUAGUUUUGAAUGAUGUUGGAAAGGCAUCAGCCAAAGCUGAAGAUGAUGGAAGAGGGCGAGAGCUCGAGGAAUAUUCCAUUCGCCGCCUGACAGGGUCAUGGACCCAAAGCUGGAGGAGGCUGUAUCUUCCACCACCGCCUGCCGGAAACACGUUCAAGGCACAAGUUGUCCCUUCGCCCCCUCCGCCGUCGCUUGAACGGAGGCCAGAAGCGCCACCACCUUCAGCUAUGGCAUGAUGAGCGCCCACUCUGACUCUGAUAUGUUCAUCAGCCUCGUUGCACUCCUGCACAAUCCUCUUUUGGACAAAUAGACAUGGAUGCAUGCAUGUUUCAUAAGUGAUUCUAAAGCAUCAUAGCAGCCAAGUAGAUGCUCUAAAUCACUCUUUCCUCAUGAUAAUAUCACGAUACUAAGCUUUCGUCUACAA